UAGGGAAUCUUCGGCAAUGGACGAAAGUCUGACCGAGCAACGCCGCGUGAGUGAAGAAGGUUUUCGGAUCGUAAAACUCUGUUGUUAGAGAAGAACAAGGACGUUAGUAACUGAACGUCCCCUGACGGUAUCUAACCAGAAAGCCACGGCUAACUACGUGCCAGCAGCCGCGGUAAUACGUAGGUGGCAAGCGUUGUCCGGAUUUAUUGGGCGUAAAGCGAGCGCAGGCGGUUUCUUAAGUCUGAUGUGAAAGCCCCCGGCUCAACCGGGGAGGGUCAUUGGAAACUGGGAGACUUGAGUGCAGAAGAGGGGAGUGGAAUUCCAUGUGUAGCGGUGAAAUGCGUAGAUAGAUGGAGGAACACCAGUGGCGAAGGCGGCUCUCUGGUCUGUAACUGACGCUGGGGCUCGAAAGCGUGGGGAGCAAACAGG
rnacentral:rRNA from 1 species